rnacentral:rRNA from 1 species
ACUCCUACGGGAGGCAGCAGUGAGGAAUAUUGGACAAUGGGGGCAACCCUGAUCCAGCCAUGCCGCGUGAUUGAAGAAGGCCUUAGGGUUGUAAAGAUCUUUCAAUAGUGAAGAUAAUGACGGUAACUAUAGAAGAAGCCCCGGCUAACUCCGUGCCAGCAGCCGCGGUAAUACGGAGGGGCUAGCGUUGUUCGGAAUUACUGGGCGUAAAGCGCGCGUAGGCGGGCUAUUAAGUCAGGGGUGAAAUCCCGGAGCUCAACUCCGGAACUGCCUUUGAUACUGGUACCUAGAGGUCGAGAGAGGUGAGUGGAAUUCCAAGUGUAGAGGUGAAAUUCGUAGAUAUUUGGAGGAACACCAGUGGCGAAGGCGGCUCACUGGCUCGAUACUGACGCUGAGGUGCGAAAGUGUGGGUAGCAAAACAGGAUUAGAUACCCUGGUAGC